AUACAAAAAUCAAGUGUAUUUCUAUGCACUAGCAACAAAUAAUCUGAAAUAAAAAUUAAGAAAAUAAUUCCACUUAAAAUGCAUCAAAAACAAUAAACUAACAAAGCUAUAGUAAUCAAAACAUCAUAGUAUUGGCAUAAAAACAGGCACGAACCAAUGGAACAGGAUAGAGAGCCCAGAAAUAAAUUCAUGCAUUUACAGUUAAUUGAUUUUUGACAAAGUAUCAAGAACAAUGAGGAAAGAACAAUUUCUUCAAUAAAUGAUAUUGGAAAACUGGAUAUUCACAUGCAAAGAAAGAAAUUAGGCCAAUAGCACAAGGAACAAAAGCAAAAAUAGACAAAUAGGAUUACAGCAAACUAAAAAACACGUAGCCAUUUCCCCCAUUCCUCCUCCCUCUUUUCUUCUCGGCUUAGACUCACCCUAAGGUGAGGCAAAUUGCUGCUGCCCCUCGGCUCCCUCUGCCACUCCAUUCCUGGGAAAUGGCUGCCACCACGGCUCCACACCCUACCUCUCCUCUGGGAGGGAAGGAUUAGCAGGAUCAAUGACCUCUGGCUCCAAGAGGGUGAUCACCCAUCUUGAGACUUUCAGUUCUAGGGACACAAGCAUGGCCUUCAUCCACCUCUCAUGACAUCACCCGGUGUUAUAAUGUAUCACUGCACUGGCGGCAUUAGCUCCCAGAAGCAGAAAGGAGUGUGAGGUGUGGAUUGAUUCUUUCUUACAGGACCACAGUCUCAUGAGCAGUCAGCGCACAUUGCCCCCAAACUUCAGCAAAGUCUGUUAUCCACACAAAAGCUUUAGUGAGAGU
rnacentral:lncRNA from 1 species